UAAGACUUGACUUGCUGCUCCUUGCCUUCUGCCAUGAUUGUGGACCCUCCCCAGCCAUGUGGAACUGAGGACAAGGCGGCAUAGAAAAAGCUGCUAUCCAAGGUAGAGAAAGCUAUAGAGAAACCCUCUAACUAAUGAAGAACUGACUUGUGUGCUGUAUGAGGCCCUGGAUUUUUGUCAUCGUAAUUAUAUUCCAGAUCAAAGAUAGGCAUGGGUGUCUACGUGCAAGGUUAUGACUAUGGACUCUAAAUGAACCAAAUGGGCAGGCCAAGGCUCAGUCUUAAAUGGUCUGCGGUAGGGGGCAUUGCUUUGAUUUGGAGGAAGAGGAGAGACUGGGAUUCUCGCUGUGUUGCCCAGGCUGGUCUCAAGUUAUCCUCUCACUUCAGCCUUACAAAGCACAGGUGU